GAAGAAUGCUGUGCAGGAGAUCCUAUGU
rnacentral:piRNA from 1 species